CUAAUAGAAGAAACGCAUACUUCAAAUAAAUCACAAUUGCAUACUCGUGGCCAUAUACAUGGCGGGACUCGCGACAGCGUGGCGACCAGUGUAUCUUAAUCCGUAAUACAGACAGACACAAUAGAUGACAGGUAACGUUUGAUAAACACAACCAAACAGUAAUAUUAGGAUUAGUAUAAUGGACAGUUAGAUCAAACAGUAAGACCUUAGUUUGUCUACAAAAUAUGUCGGUAGUGUUUACAAUAAGGCCCAGUAAAACGGUCUAUAGUAAACUACUUAAAUAUUUGUAACGGUCGGCGGUCGUUAAUUGCGCGAUUCCGUUUAUAUAAUAAGUUGUGGCCGUAGCAAUCGGUGUUCGCCGGAUCGGUAAUUCAUGGCGUUACGGCGGCAGAUGUUAUCGGCGCGGAGGUU